GUGGGGAAUAUUGGACAAUGGGCGCAAGCCUGAUCCAGCCAUACCGCGUGGGUGAAGAAGGCCUUCGGGUUGUAAAGCCCUUUUGUUGGGAAAGAAAUCCAGCUGGCUAAUACCCGGUUGGGAUGACGGUACCCAAAGAAUAAGCACCGGCUAACUUCGUGCCAGCAGCCGCGGUAAUACGAAGGGUGCAAGCGUUACUCGGAAUUACUGGGCGUAAAGCGUGCGUAGGUGGUCGUUUAAGUCCGUUGUGAAAGCCCUGGGCUCAACCUGGGAACUGCAGUGGAUACUGGGCGACUAGAGUGUGGUAGAGGGUAGCGGAAUUCCUGGUGUAGCAGUGAAAUGCGUAGAGAUCAGGAGGAACAUCCAUGGCGAAGGCAGCUACCUGGACCAACACUGACACUGAGGCACGAAAGCGUGGGGAGCAAACAGGAUUAGAUACCCUGGUAGUCCACGCCCUAAACGAUGCGAACUGGAUGUUGGGUGCAAUUUGGCACGCAGUAUCGAAGCUAACG
rnacentral:rRNA from 1 species